CCUACGGGGGGCUGCAGUGGGGAAUAUUGGACAAUGGGGGGAACCCUGAUCCAGCCAUGCCGCGUGUGUGAAGAAGGCCCUCGGGUUGUAAAGCACUUUCAGUGAGGAAGAACGCCUGGUGGUUAAUACCCAUCAGGAAAGACUUCACUCACAGAAGAAGCACCGGCUAACUCCGUGCCAGCAGCCGCGGUAAUACGGAGGGUGCGAGCGUUAAUCGGAAUUACUGGGCGUAAAGCGCGCGUAGGUGGCUUGAUAAGCCGGUUGUGAAAGCCCCGGGCUCAACCUGGGAACGGCAUCCGGAACUGUCAAGCUAGAGUGCAGGAGAGGAAGGUAGAAUUCCCGGUGUAGCGGUGAAAUGCGUAGAGAUCGGGAGGAAUACCAGUGGCGAAGGCGGCCUUCUGGACUGACACUGACACUGAGGUGCGAAAGCGUGGGUAGCAAACAGGAUUAGAUACCCCAGUAGUC
rnacentral:rRNA from 1 species